GAUGAACGCUAGCUACAGGCUUAACACAUGCAAGUCGAGGGACCGGCGCACGGGUGAGUAACACGUAUCCAACCUGCCCUUUACUCUGGGAUAGCCUUUCGAAAGAUAGAUUAAUACCCGAUCUUAAGGAUGGGGUUGCGUUCCAUUAGGUUGUUGGUGAGGUAACGGCUCACCAAGCCUUCGAUGGAUAGGGGUUCUGAGAAGAAGGUACCCCAGGAUGGAACUGAGGCACGGUCCAAACUCGUACGGGAGGGAGGAGUAAGGAAUGUAAGUCAAUGGGCGCUAGCCUGAACCAGCCAAGUAGCGGAAAGGAUGAAGGCUUAUGAGACGUAAACUGCUUUUAAAUAAGAAGAGGUAUUAAAUGAAUAAGGAACGGCUAACUCCGUGCCAGCAGCCGCGGUAAUAC
rnacentral:rRNA from 1 species